CUCAAAGCUGCCCCGAGCCUGCCCCAUCGGUAAAGGCUGAACAGGGAGUCCCCUCUGCCUGACUCCUCUUUUAAUUAGUCACACAUAAGAGUGGAAUUAGUUCUUGUGUUUUCUGCUUUUCCCUUGGCUAGGAGUCUCCGUAGGACGGGGUCCUUCAGGCGUGCUGAAGCCUACUAACAACCCCAGGAGUGACUGGGAGAGCCAGGAGAAAGAAAGCAGGUUGAGUUCGGGUCGAGCUGUGCGCCUUUUUUCCUCUCGCUCUCUCGGUUAUCAUAACCUUGUAUUCCCUCUGGAAGGAAAUGGAAAUUCCUUUGGAUCAUCUUCUAGGUAAACAGUUUAAUUAGCUGCGUGAGGUGACAAACUUGCUCGGAUGAAGUCAUGGGAGCUGAACGAAUUGGCCUGAAUCCCAAGAGGGGAGUGUUCAGGGCGCGCGUGUCCCUCGGAGAGGCUGAGGUAACGCUGGCUCCUUCCCGGGAGUCCCUGAACGCCCGGCUUUGGAAUCUGCAGACAGCUCUUCUAGCAGGGCGUUGGCACCUACUGACUAACCGUGCAAUCACUCAGCAGCUGUGAUGGUUGGUGACAUGUCUUUCACAGCCCAAGAUAGCCUCCCUAGACUGAGCAAAAAAAAGAAAACAGAAAAAAACUGGAGCUAAAAGUUGAUCAGUGAGUGAUUCCUAGCAACCCAAAAUGUUGGUUUAUUUAUUUUACUUAUAAGUUUAGUUAACCAAUAAAAAUUAUUCUCUGUGUGAUGGAGAAGUUUUAAGGAGCAUCUACUAGAGAUGUUGCGUCCCACUUGGAACAAACUUAGUAAGCACAUCUUGUACGUAAAUGGAAAUUAUCCCGCAAAUUACGGCAUCUCCAAAUGUAGCGUGGAAACUAAUAUUGACAUGUCAACACAGGAUUAAUACAUAGUAAUCAAAGAGUGCUUAAAAAUUCAUUAAAAAUGAAGUCCCACCUCUAAAAGUGAAAUGUGCAAAUUAAAGUAGCAGUUAGAUAAUGUUUUGUCAUUUAGGUAAAAAUUACAAAGAAUCGGCCGGGCGCGGUGGCUCACGCCUGUAAUCCCAGCACUCUGGGAGGCCGAGGCCGGCAGAUCACCUGAGGUCAGGAGUUCAAGACCAGCCUGGCCAUGGUGAAACCCCGUCUCUACUAAAAGUACAAAAAAUUAGCCGGGCGUGGUGGUGCGCGCUUGUAAUCCCAGCUAUUCGGGAGGCUGAGGCUGGGAAUCGUUUGAACCCGGGAGCGAAACUCCGUCUCAAAAAAAGAAAAAAAUUGCAAAGAAUCAGGGAUGUGAGGAGUCAGACACUCACAUACUGUUGGAUGAAGUGUAAAUACUGUAUAAUCUUCCUAAGGGAAAUAUUUGGAAGCAUGUAAAAAAAUUUUUAAAACCUUAGGACCCAGCAAUUCCAUUUCGGCAAAUUAAUCCUAAAGACAUUCUUUUAAAACAUGAACAAAGGUAUACAUGGCAACAUUGUCUAAAGGAUCAAAGCAUUGCCAGCCAUUAAAUGUCCCACAUUGAGUGAUUGGACAAAUUGCUUCACCUCUUGGUGUCUCAGUUUCCUCAUGUGUAAGAAACAGGAAUAAUAGGGUUGUGAGGAUCAAAUGAAUUAGUACAAGCAAAACGCUUAUUACAGUGCCUGGCAUAGAGUAAGCACUAAAUAAGUGUAACUGAUCACUGUAAUUUACACUGGUCAGUUAAAUCAUAGUACAUAAGAUGUGAAAACUACACAGCCAUUUAAGGUGCAUAAUACAGAUUCAUAUUUACAUAGACAUCUGAAUACACAAGUUUUCAGAAGGAAGUUACAAACCUUAUAAAAUUACAAAUGCCCACAAUUUUAAAAAUCUGAAAGGAAAUACAUGAGAAUAUUAUGACAUGAUUGUCUCUGAGUGGCAAGAUUCUAGACAAUGUUUUUGUUCUUUGUGCAUUUUAUUAUUCAAAAUAUUUUAAUGAUGAGCGUGUAUUCCUUUCAAAAGCAGAAAAAAUGUUAAAAUACAACAAUGUCAAAAAUGGUAUGUUGGUACCACCAGUUUCUUAAUGUUUUGAAGGGCCAAUACCAAAAGCGUGCUUGUGUUUCAUUAUGACAAGUAUAGAAUUAUUCGGAAAUAUCACGACUGAUACGGAAGUCAGAACAUUCCCUCUCAAAAAUGUGCUUUGAUUGCUGGGCUGACAGAAUUAGGUGACAACUUGUUUACCUUAAGAUCCUGAGCAGUGUCUUGGGCCAUUAUCAUAAGUGCCUGAGCCAGAUAUUGGUGGCUCAGACUGGGUGUAUCAGAGCCAGAUAUUGAUGAAAAUGCAUUUGUACAUGUUCUGUACUCCGGACUGAAUUACUCUGUUGCCAGCAAUAAGCCAGGGCACAAACUGUUCAAGCCUUGAUUAUCAAUAUGUGUGCACUGGGAGUAAUACAUACUAGUAUUGAGAGCAGUAUCCGUGCAUUCUGACCUAGAAUGACUUUAGCUGUGGGGGCAGGGGGGUCUCGAUGAUUAAUGUGCUGUAUAAAUAAUAAACAUUUUUUAAAUAUAAAAUUUUUAAUAUUUAACUUAAAAGACAAACAUAAAAAGUGAAAUGCUUUGUAUUUUGUGGUUAACGUCCCUUAUUAUCCCUUUAAAAUACUGAAAUUCUAUGAGUUUCACUUUUAGUAUUACCACAGUUUUUAAAACGUUUUGAAGACUACAUAUCAAUGGCAUAUUAAAAUGUUUCUGUAAUGUUGUAUGUUUAAUAAAUUCUGUGGUUGUUUGUUAAAUGUUAUAUCCCUUUAUUCUCAGUUUGAUUUUGAAAAUUCAUCUACAUUAAAAACAAAAAUACUGGCC
rnacentral:lncRNA from 10 species